rnacentral:rRNA from 1 species
UACGUGAGGCAGCAAGCGUUGUUCGGAGUUACUGGGGCGUAAAGGGUGCGUAGGCGGUCCUAUAAGUAAUCGGUGUGAAAUCUCCCGGCUUAACUGGGAGGGUGCGCUAUAGACUGGUGGGACUAGAGUGUGGGAGAGGAAAGUGGAAUUCCUGGUGUAGCGGUGAAAUGCGUAGAUAUCAGGAGGAACACCGGUGGUGUAAACGGCUUUCUGGACCAUAACUGACGCUGAGGCACGAAAGCCGUGGGUAGCAAACAGG